rnacentral:lncRNA from 1 species
UGGCACAGUGAAUCCACAGCAUAGAGAAGAGCAGCAGGAGACACACACAAAACAGAACAUACACCAUUUUCAUAAUGAGAAAUGACUAGAUGGAGAAAAACUACCUACAAUCUCUGGAGGAGAGGAGACACGGAGCCACCAAGAAGUGAGCAGAUUUUCUCCACCAUAAUGUACCUGUUAUGAUGCUCUGCCUCACCACAGACCAAAAUGCGACCUCAUUAAGGCCACAGGACCAUGGACUGAAACUGAAAGGUACUCCAGCCUUUUAGAGGGGAAGUCUGAGAAGCUCUGAAACUUGAGGUGCCUACAAAGACAACUCAGCUGUUGUUGCCAAGGAACUAACAUGUCUGAGUUCUGGUAUCAGUAUCACUGGCUCCUGCUCAAAUAGCACAAACGAAAGAUGUAAAGUCAUUAGAGAAAAAGAACAGUUUGGUUUGAUCACUUGCACUGAGGUAAGCAUUCUGCCAUAUUCUGAGCAACUUUAAGGGAAUACCUACGUUGUGUGGUGAGGAACCGAGGGCCUCAGACCAACAAUGCAGAGAAACUGAAGCCUGCUAACAACCAGGUGCUGCUGAUCUAGAAGUCUUAAUUCCAAAAAGAAAAAUGCUUCCUCCAGGCACAUAACAAUGGGUCCACUGAAUUAAAGGCUGAGACUGUCACCUGACCAUUUUGGGCUCCUAAUGCUAUUGAGUCAACAGUUAGAUUGGACCACAAGAAUGAGUCUCAUGGAUGAUUUGGAUGGUGUAAAUGAAGCAACAGCCAUUGGGUAGCUCACAUACUUGGUUUGCUGCCUCUUCUUGCUGAUGUGAACUGUGGCUAGGACUAGAACUACUCUACCUUCUCCUCAAUCUUCCUGAGCCUCUGUGACUUCUACACCAGGAAACGAGAGUGGAGAGAGAGAGAGAGAGAACUGACACAGGUUUUAGGCUGUCCUCAUUGACUCACUGCCUCCAGUUUGUGCCUGGGAGUUCUAGUUUGUUCUUGCUCUUCCUGUUUUACAUCCUGACCACUUGCCUCAAGAACUUCAAGGUCCAGCAUUAGAUGCAAUCACAAUAGCUUUAUGGAGACUGUUCAGUAAACAACCACAACUGCAUAAGAUUCUCCAAAUAUAGUGUUAGUCAACAUUCCUGUAUGGACUUUAGAAGGUGCCAACUUUGAAUCAGACGGUCUGUAUUCAAAUCCUGGCUCCAUCAGUUCCCAGCAUAUGACACUUAGAGGCAGACAGACGACUGGGUCCUGAGCCUGAAGCAUUCUUCAAUGUGACCUUGACUCUUGCAUUUUAUACUGCUAAAUUCAACCAAGCAAUCUUCCGGGUUCUGUACGGUGGUGGAAGCAGCAGCCCAUUGAGCCAGAGACCAACACUUCUGGGCAUAUGGAACCCAAGAGCGGAAAGCUUGCUGCGUUUCUCGGAAACUUCAGCUAAGGAAGGGCAGCCUCUGGAAAGUGAAGAAAUGGCACACUCACGGGAUGAGGCGGGAAAUGCCAUAGAGCCGGGGAGUCCAGCACCUGCCUAGGCCACACUGUGUACCGGAAGCAGUUUGCGUCCCCGAAUAAACUUAGAUACAAGUCCAGUAAAAACCAGAGUCCUCAUCAUCACCCAACAAGGGAGGUACUAUUGUCUUUGUUUAAUGGAUGAAGACACUAAACCUGCAAGGGUAAGAGUCUUGCCACAAGUGGGUCACAAAUCUAAGAAGUGGAUCACAUAUCUAAGAAGUGGAUCACAUAUAGAUUGUAAAGGCAGAGACACAGAGGGAGAGCACUAUGUGAUGUUGAAAGCAGAGAUUGGAGUUAUGCAGUUUUGAGACAAAGUGAAAGGGGAGUAAAAAGCAACCAGAGAAAAGAAGCAGAUGGGGAAACCGCUUGUGAGAAUGCCUUGUUCUGCAAAACCUUAUCACAGGGGCAGCAAGGGGAGCUGCCUUCUAUGUGACCUUACCUGAGUAGUUCCCAAAUCCUUGUUCUUGGACAUGGGAGGGCUGGAUGCCCAAAAAUCUCCUGAGGAACAUGAAUUACAAAACCCAAGAAAAACAGAACCCCUGGCUUCACUCUGAUUUGGAGGGAUAAAGUGGGGUGUAGCAG